GAGGGUAUAGCUCAGUGGUAGAGCAUAUGCUUAGCAUGCAUGAGGUAGCUGGGUUCCAGCCCCAGUACCUCCA
rnacentral:tRNA from 1 species